UGCGAUGCCGAGCCCUUGGACGCCCUGGAGGGGGGGUGCUGCCCGGCAGAGCGUGCCACCCGCGCCGCGUGGAGCGCUUCGCCCAGGUCGCCGCGCGGGGGCCUGGGCAGAGCGGGGAGGUCGGCGGCCAGGGACGUCUCUCAGCUGGCAGUGCCUGGGAGGCUGCUCGGGGCGGGUGUCCGGGUCCUGCGGCGGGCGGCUGGAUGGCGAGCGGAGACGGAGGCCUGGGCUUGGGCAGCGUGGCGGUGUCCUGGCCCCGACGGUGACGGAGGGCUUUGAUGAGGCCCGGCGGCCGCGUGCUUGCCAGGAAGGCCCGGGGCUUGAGGCCCUGGAAGGCCUGGCCCGUUCAGGAGUCCCGGCUGUUUGGGGGAAUGUCCCACGCCCUGUGGGGAUUUGCGCCGUGUCUCCCGGCCGACUUGGGUGUCCCGGUUGGUGUGUGGUCGGGACUGGGAGGGGCUUGGUGCGGGCGGGAACCGCCGGGUAGCGACCACGUCUCGUCAGGGGGUUCGUGCCUGCUGCUGGGCACGGGAACGGCUCCGGGGGGGUCUUACGGGCGCUGAGGGGAUUCCGCAUCAUGGAGAGGUCAAGGGGAGUUGGUGGCCGUCACCCUUCGUCAGGGCAGGGUAGCAUCAGUGCGCCCGUGCUGGGGUUCCUGGAGAGCCGGCUGGCACGGACAGACUCUUGUGAGGGCAAGUGGCUGAUCGUGCGUCGGAUGGGUCCAGCAAAGGAGAGAAAGCUUCGGUGCGCGCGCGCUCGCCAGGGAAAGGGUGACAGCGGGUGGGACCCAGAGGGAGAGAACAAAGGAAGAGAGAGGGUUUCCGCAGGGGUGGUGAGUCCUGGCGGAAGUCCUGAGGCAGAGGAGGUGCCAGGGGUUUGGGUUUCCCGGUCGUGUCGGGGGUGUGGCGCAGGUUGCCCCAGUGGGCCUGAAUGUGCCUCCGUGGGGCACCUUGUUGCCGUGUUGGGGGGCGGGGAGCCGGCCUUGGGGAUCCAUCUUUCGGGCCCUGGGACGUGGGAGAAUGCCGGGGCCUCUCUCUGUGCCCCUGGCACGCCUCUGUGCAGGCCGGGCCUGCACCCCCCCCCGCGCCCGUCCCCCAGGCAGGGUCCGUGUGGCUGCAGACACCCAGAGAGAGGGGAGGCUGGGGAGGCUGGGGAGCCGUGGCAGCCCGAUGCAGUGCGGGUCUCCAGGUGGAGGGGCCCUGGUCCCCUGGCGCCAGCGUGGCCCUUCCUCCUUGUGGAAACCCUUGUGGUGUGUGUGCUCUCUCGCCCUGACCCAGGAGAGCAGCAUGGCGGACCCCUGAUCUUGUGGCGUGCCACCGCGCGAGGCCGAGGAGCUCCCGCAGCCCAGUGGGCGUGGCGUCCUUGUCGCGGCUCUGUGGAGACCUGGCGAUGGAGAGCAGCAUGGCGGACCCCUGAUCUUGUGGCGUGCCACCGCGCGAGGCCGAGGAGCUCCCGCAGCCCAGUGCGCGUGGCGUCCUUGUCGCGGCUCUGUGGAGACCUGGCGAUGGUGAGCGGCCCCUGUCCUCAGUGGUGGAGAACUCGCCCUUGGGGCGCUCGUCUGUCCGGAGCCCCGGGCCAGCCCCGCUUCUCGCGGGCUUUGGCCCCGGCAGGCCAGCUCCGGGGGCGUGAGGGGGAGCGUCCCGUCCUGCCCAGUGGCUCGUCUGUCUGGGCACGCCCCCAAACGCUGCCGUGAUGGAGCGGGUGGGAUGUCCAGGUGCGGAGGCCGUGAAUUUGCCUUGCGGCGGCGGAGCCCGUGCUCGGAUCGAUGAUGACUCCCUCUAAAGCAUUCCUUGGAAAUCUGAACAAAAUGAGUGAGAACUCACUACCGUCUCCUCAUCGAAACUGAGGUCCGGCACGUGGCGGCCACCGGGGGCUCGGGGGUAGAUGGGCCCUUGGCCUUGGGGCCUCUGGGUGUCAGCAGCCACUCGGGUGAGGUCUGGGG
rnacentral:lncRNA from 1 species